AAGCCUAUGCAUUCUGGGAUCAUUUCGAUAGCUCGUUCCUGGAGAAGUUUCUCUGAGCACCAGAAGCCACAAGGAGCAGGCCCAGCAUUCCCUCCCGAGCAGGCCCAGCGUUCCCUCCCGAGCAGGAGCCGUCGUCUGUGUUGCUUCCCUGCAAGUACCAUUCGCCACUGAUGACCAUUCUUCUGUUCCUCUGGGAGAGUAAGAGGGAGAGGAUGUAGUCUGAGAGGU
ensembl:snoRNA U3 Small nucleolar RNA U3